UGGGGAAUAUUGCACAAUGGGCGCAAGCCUGAUGCAGCCAUGCCGCGUGUAUGAAGAAGGCCUUCGGGUUGUAAAGUACUUUCAGUCGGGAGGAAGGUGGUAAGGUUAAUAACCUUGGCAAUUGACGUUACCGACAGAAGAAGCACCGGCUAACUCCGUGCCAGCAGCCGCGGUAAUACGGAGGGUGCAAGCGUUAAUCGGAAUUACUGGGCGUAAAGCGCACGCAGGCGGUUGAUUGAGUCAGAUGUGAAAUCCCCGGGCUUAACCCGGGAAUUGCAUCUGAUACUGGUCAGCUAGAGUCUUGUAGAGGGGGGUAGAAUGCCAUGUGUAGCGGUGAAAUGCGUAGAGAUCUGGAGGAAUACCGGUGGCGAAGGCGGCCCCCUGGACGAAGACUGACGCUCAGGUGCGAAAGCGUGGGGAGCAAACAGG
rnacentral:rRNA from 1 species